rnacentral:rRNA from 1 species
UGAAUUUAAGCAUAUCACUAAGCGGAGGAAAAGAAACUAACAAGGAUUCCCCUAGUACCUGCGAGUGAACAGGGAUUAGCCCAACACCGAAGCCUACGGUUGUUUGAUCGUGAGGCAAUGUGGUGUUUAGGUUGGCUUCUGGCAUUACUGCUCUUCCCCAAGUCCAGCAAUGAGUACGGCUUCCCAUUCUGGCCCAUAGAGGGUGAAAGGCCCGUGGGGGUAGAGACCAAGUGUGACAGUUCUGCUCAGAGCUCCCCUUAGAGUCGGGUUGUUUGUGAAUGCAGCCCAAAGUGGGUGGUAGACUCCAUCCAAGGCUAAAUACUUACACGAGUCCGAUAGCAAACAAGUACCGUGAGGGAAAGUUGAAAAGUACUUUGAAGAGAGAGUAAACAGUGCGUGAAACCGCUCAAAGGUAAACGGGUGGAGUUGAACUGCAAGCCCUGGGAAUUCAGCUGAUGAGUGUGAUUUGUGCUUGGGCAUACUGGCCGCCUUCAGUGUCCGUUUAACCGCGGGCGCCUGCCUUAUUGGUGGGUGUGUGUGGACCGUUUGCAAGCGGCGCAUGCACUGUUGGUGUGAGGGUCUGCUUGUCAGUGCACUUUCUCAGGGUGUUCACCACGACCGGCGCUGCUGCCUGUCUGCUAUGACCAAACUGGUCGAGUCUGGCUUUGUCGGGCUUGGCUGGGUCGGCAGGUGACUCUUUGGCCCAUUCGUGGGCUGUGAGUGUUACUAACCGGUUGUAGUGGAUCUGUGCGGUGUGUCGGAGAUGGCGGCUUCGCAUGCGUGCCUAGUCCUGCGGGCAUUGUUGAGUCUGGUCGGUUUGUUACUGGCUUCGGCUGGUCGGCUGAUGGCUUGAUUUUGUCUCGUUGGCGGUUGCGUGUGUGAACGGCUUGGGCCCAUAGUCUGUGGUGUAGUGGUAGACGAUCCACCUGACCCGUCUUGAAACACGGACCAAGGAGUUUAACAUGUGCGCGAGUCAUUGGGUGUUACGAAACCCAAAGGCGAAGUGAAGGUAAAGGUUCGGCUUGUCCGGGCUGAGGUGAGAUCCUGCUGUCUUGCUCAUACUUUCCAAGUUGCGAGCAGUGGGCGCAUCACCGGCCCGUCCCAUGACGUAGACAUGUGACUUUGCGUUGCGUGCACCGUCGGGGCGGAGCAAGAGCGUACACGUUGAGACCCGAAAGAUGGUGAACUAUGCUUGCGAAGGUUGAAGCCAGAGGAAACUCUGGUGGAGGACCGUAGCGAUUCUGACGUGCAAAUCGAUCGUAUAACGUGAGUAUAGGGGCGAAAGACUAAUCGAACCAUCUAGUAGCUGGUUCCCUCCGAAGUUUCCCUCAGGAUAGCUGGCAUUCUGAGAAAUAAACAGUUUUAUCCGGUAAAGCGAAUGAUUAGAGGCAUUGGGGAUAAAUCAUUCUCAACCUAUUCUCAAACUUUAAAUGGGUGAGAAGCUUAACUCGCUUAAUUGGAGUUUUGCAUUGAAUGUGAGUGCCAAGUGGGCCAUUUUUGGUAAGCAGAACUGGCGCUGUGGGAUGAACCAAACGUUCGGUUAAGGUGCCUAACGCGACGCUCAUGAGAUACCACAAAAGGUGUUGGUUGGUCUAGACAGCAGGACGGUGGCCAUGGAAGUCGGAAGCCGCUAAGGAGUGU